rnacentral:rRNA from 1 species
CUUUACUAUAGCUUGACACUGAACAUUGAGCCUUGAUGUGUAGGAUAGGUGGGAGGCUUUGAAGUGUGGACGCCAGUCUGCAUGGAGCCGACCUUGAAAUACCACCCUUUAAUGUUUGAUGUUCUAACGUGGACCCGUGAUCCGGGUUGCGGACAGUGUCUGGUGGGUAGUUUGACUGGGGCGGUCUCCUCCUAAAGAGUAACGGAGGAGCACGAAGGUUGGCUAAUCCUGGUCGGACAUCAGGAGGUUAGUGCAAUGGCAUAAGCCAGCUUGACUGCGAGCGUGACGGCGCGAGCAGGUGCGAAAGCAGGUCAUAGUGAUCCGGUGGUUCUGAAUGGAAGGGCCAUCGCUCAACGGAUAAAAGGUACUCCGGGGAUAACAGGCUGAUACCGCCCAAGAGUUCAUAUCGACGGCGGUGUUUGGCACCUCGAUGUCGGCUCAUCACAUCCUGGGGCUGAAGUAGGUCCCAAGGGUAUGGCUGUUCGCCAUUUAAAGUGGUACGCGAGCUGGGUUUAGAACGUCGUGAGACAGUUCGGUCCCUAUCUGCCGUGGGCGCUGGAGAACUGAGGGGGGCUGCUCCUAGUACGAGAGGACCGGAGUGGACGCAUCACUGGUGUUCGGGUUGUCAUGCCAAUGGCACUGCCCGGUAGCUAAAUGCGGAAGAGAUAAGUGCUGAAAGCAUCUAAGCACGAAACUUGCCCCGAGAUGAGUUCUCCCUGAGACUUAGAGUCUCCUGAAGGAACGUUGAAGACGACGACGU